GACGAACGCUGGCGGCGUGCCUAAUACAUGCAAGUCGAACGAGAGCGACCGGUGCUUGCACUGGUCAAUCUAGUGGCGAACGGGUGAGUAACACGUGGGUAACCUGCCCAUCAGAGGGGGAUAACAUUCGGAAACGGAUGCUAAAACCGCAUAGGUCUUCGAACCGCAUGGUUUGAAGAGGAAUAGAGGCGCAAGCUUCUGCUGAUGGAUGGACCCGCGGUGCAUUAGCUAGUUGGUGAGGGAACGGCUCACCAAGGCCGUGAUGAAUAGCCGACCUGAGAGGGUGAUCGGGCACAUUGGGACUGAGACACGGCCCAAACUCCUACGGGAGGCAGCAGUAGGGAAUAUUCCGCAAUGGAGGCAAGUAUGACGGAGCAACGCCGAGUGAGUGAAGAAGGUUUUCGGAUCGUAAAACUCUGUUGUUAGAGAAGAAUAAGUGCUAGAGUAACUGUGAGCGACUUGACGGUAUCUAACCAGAAAGCAACGGCUAACUACGUG
rnacentral:rRNA from 1 species